rnacentral:lncRNA from 10 species
UCUGUCUCUCUUUUUACUAUAAUUGGGAAACUCUAACUGUAAGCUUCUUUGGGAGCAAAAAUUUUGUGAUCUUGUGAUACUGUCUCAGUAUUUUUUUUCACCUAAACAACUCUACUCUAUAACUCUCAAGUUUAGUAUUUACUUAGAAGCAGGAGAUGUGAAAAUUUUGAGUGCCCUAAGUAUGUCUGGAAAUACCUCAAUUUGAUUUUCACAGUCCAGUGCUACUCAACAAACUAUAACUGAGCACUUACUCUGUGCUAGAAACAGCAUUUCUGCUUUCCAAGGACCUCUAAGUUCAUGUGGAAUCAAGUGGAUUAUUUCUAUUUGUCGCUGAGAGUGAAACUCUCCACCCUGAUGUUCUUCGUGCUUUCUGGGAAAUCUCAGGCAAGUACCACACCAUUGAGAUGAGGAUCUCUUCUGCCAAGAGCCACCCUUUCCACCACUCCCUGGAGAAAUCUCUGACUCAGUCAAGCUAGGUGACUCAGAACUCCCUCGGUUCCUCUGCCUUCCAAUUCAUGCCAGCUGGGCACAGAGAGAAAGAGACAGGGCUCAGUGCUGACCUGGAGACCAUCUGCGCCUCAUAAAGACCCAAUGCCAGGGACUUGCAUCGAAAUGAAUGUGGUUAGGUCAAGUGGUGGCCUGGAAUUUUGGGAAAGGUCCAGUGACUUGGGUGGCAAACACAAUUGCAGCUUCCAAAGGCCACCUUCCAGAGGAAAUAAGAUCUGGUCAGCCACACAAGAUAUAUCUACGAAGUAG